rnacentral:misc_RNA from 1 species
GAUGAAGAACGCAGUGAAAUGCGAUACUUGGUGUGAAUUGCAGAAUCCCGUGAACCAUCGAGUCUUUGAACGCAAGUUGCGCCCGAAGCCAUUAGGCCGAGGGCACGCCUGCCUGGGCGUCACACGUCGUUGCCCCCCCAUCUACUCCUUCGGGAUUGCGGGGGGCGGAUGAUGGCCUCCCGUGCGCCUCGUCGCGCGGUUGGCCUAAAUGCCAAGUCCUCGGCGACGCACGCCACGACAAUCGGUGGUUGCGAAACCUCGGUUGCCAGUCGUGUGCGGUCGUCGCGCAUCGAGGGCUCGAAAAAAUUGCCGGGCUUCGGCUCGACUUUCAACGCGACCCCAGGUCAGGCGGGGUUACCCGCUGAAUUUAAGCAUAUCAAUAAGCGGAGGA